rnacentral:rRNA from 1 species
GGAUUAGAUACCCUGGUAGUCCACGCCGUAAACGAUGGAUACUAGCUGUCCGGCCUUUUGGCUGGGUGGCCAAGCGAAAGUGAUAAGUAUCCCACCUGGGGAGUACGUUCGCAAGAAUGAAACUCAAAGGAAUUGACGGGGGCCCGCACAAGCGGUGGAGCAUGUGGUUUAAUUCGAUGAUACGCGAGGAACCUUACCAGGGCUUAAAUGUAUUGUGACAGGGGUGGAAACACCUUUUUCUUCGGACACAUUACAAGGUGCUGCAUGGUUGUCGUCAGCUCGUGUUG